AUGCAGGAAGAAUGUGUCCCUGGACCAUCGUCGAUUUCUUCUGACCAACCAUCAAUGUCGAAAGAAAGGCAAGCAUUUCAAAGGCGAGGCAGAUCACCAGAGAAGCCCGCCAUGCGUACCGGUGAUCACGUACUUGCUAUGGUUAAUGAUUUACACGUAAUCUUUGGAAACGGUCCCGGUGGACUAGCUGUUCCGAAUGACACUGAGGGACACGCACCCAUGUGGAAGAAGAAAUCUAUAUUUUGGGACCUACCCUACUGGAAAGACCUAGAGGUCCGCUCUUCAAUCGACGUGAUGCACGUGACGAAGAACCUUUGCGUGAACCUGCUAGGCUUCUUGGGCGUGUAUGGGAAGACAAAAGAUACACCUGAGGCACGGGAGGACCUGCAAUGUUUGCACGAAAAAGACGGCAUGCCUUCGAAGCAGUAUAAAGGUCCUGCCAGCUACGCUCUUACGAAAGAAGAGAAAGAAAUCUUUUUUGAAUGCCUGCUCAGUAUGAAGGUCACGACUUGCUUCUCGUCGAAUAUAAAGGGAAUAAUAAAUGUGCCAGAGAAAAAGUUUCAGAACCUAAAGUCUCAUGACUGCCAUGUGAUUAUGACGCAACUGCUUCCGGUUGCAUUGAGGAGGCUUCUACCGGAAAACGUCCGAUUAGCCAUUGUGAAUCUAUGUGCAUUCCUCAAUGCAAUCUCUCAGAAGGUGAUUGAUCCAGAAAUCGUACCAAGGCUAAGGAGUGAUGUGGCGCAAUGUCUUGUCAGUUUCGAGCUGGUGUUCCCACCAUCCUUCUUCAAUAUCAUGACGCACGUCCUAGUUCAUCUAGUCAACGAGAUUGUCAUCCUGGGGCCCGUAUUUCUACACAAUAUGUUCCCCUUUGAGAGGUUCAUGGGAGUCCCAAAGAAAUAUGUCCGUAACCGUGCUAGGCCAGAAGGAAGCAUCUCCAUGGGCCAUCAAACAGAGGAUGUUAUCGGGUUUUGUGUUGACUUCAUUCCUGGCCUUAAGAAGAUAGGUCUCCCUAAAUCGCGGUAUGAGGGGAGACUGACUGGAAAAGGCACUCUUGGAAGUGACUCAAUAAUAUGCAGGGACGGAUAUUCUUGGUCUCAAGCACACUACACAGUUCUACAGAACUCUACCUUGGUGACCCCGUAUGUUGAUGAACACAAGAACAGUCUGCGCUCCAAACACCCGGAGCAGUGCGACAACUGGAUUACAUGUGAACACAUCAGGACUUUCAGCAGUUGGUUGGAAACACGUCUCAGAGGUGACAACACUGUUUGUGAUGAGUUGUACUUGUUGUCCAGGGGACCAUCUUUGACUGUAUUGACUUACAAAGGAUACGAGAUAAAUGGGAAUACAUUUUACACGAUCUCCCAAGAUCAAAAAAGCACCAACCAAAACAGCGGUGUCCGCUUUGAUGCAGCAACCGAGAGCGGAAAGGACACAUAUUAUGGUUACAUAGUGGACAUAUGGGAACUUGACUACGGACCUGAUUUUAAGGUCCCUUUGUUUAAGUGCAAAUGGUUCAAUCUGUCAGGCGGCGGGGUACAGGUAGACCCACAGUACGGAAUGACAACAGUGGAUCUGAAAAAUCUUGGGUACACUGACAAACCGUUCGUCCUAGCCAAUGAUGUGGCACAGGUUAUCUAUGUGAAGGACAUGUCUACCAAACCGAGAAAAAGAAAAGAUAAGGAAGCGAAUACAUCAUACGAUGAGCCAAAGCACCACAUAGUUCUUUCAGGAAAAAGGGAUAUCCUGGGAGUGGAGGGCAAGACAGACAUGUCUGAAGAUUAUGAAAAGUUUCAUGAAAUUCCUCCCUUCAAUGUCAAGGCUGACCCAAGCAUCCUGAUAAACGAUGAAGAUUAUCCAUGGUUACGGCGCAAUAAGCAAAUGACACAAGCGAAGAAAAGGUGA
rnacentral:rRNA from 1 species